rnacentral:lncRNA from 1 species
CAACUUUUAAAAUUCCAUUUCAUACUGGGUGAGUUGUAGUUUUUGAGGAAUUGGCCUGUUUAAUUUAAGCUGUCAAAUUUAUGUGGGUAGAGUUGUUUGUAGUAUUCCCCUACUAUCCUUCUGAUGUACACAGAGCCUGUAGUGAUAUCCCAUUUCAUCCUUGAUGUUUCAUUCCGUUUCACCCUCUUUCUUUUCUCUCCUUAUUACUGGUUGUGGGAAUGGGAAUUCCAGCUUCUCCCUAGGCCUCUACUAAGACCUCCCUGACUUGGGGGACAGUUGGGUGGGGCGGCUCAUGACUGCUCCCCAAGGGGCCUCCACUGACACAAGGGGUGGUGGCCUCAUUACCACUAGUUGGUGGUGAAAGUCCUGAUCCCCCUCUGGGUUUUCUGGUACACUGCCCCAGCAGAGCAGAGAGGGGCACCUCAUGACUGCUGGAUGGGAGUGGAAGUCCAGACUCCCCCACUGUCUUCACUGAUAUUGCAGGGAGCCCAUGGGGAGAGUUGGGGUGCCUCUUUACAGCCUGGUGUGGGUGGAAUUCUAGGAUCUCCACCUCUGCCUUUGCUUGUGUGAGUGUGGGUAGGGCCACAGUCUUUCUGUGGUGUUCGGCUGGAGUAGAGAGGUUAUUGUCUCAAGGUUUUCUGUCUCGUAAGGCUGCCCAUUUUCUGCUUUCUGUUUUGUUUUUGCUUUGUAUAGAGGGAGUAGGCUUUUGAUGGGGCUUUUCCCCCCAUCUCAAACACUAGAAUUUCCAGGUCGCGAGCUUCUUCAGUUCUAAGUCUGGGAUAUAUGAGGCAAAAUGAAAGCCAGGAGAAUGCACUAUGCGGUCCCAAGUUUCCUAGCUGGUCUGCCUUCUUUUCUCAACUUUUCAGAAUAUUUUUAUACUUGCUUUACAUACAAACUAAAUCUACUGAAAAAAUACAAUAAUCAAAAUAAAUGGAUGGGCUCAAUAGCCAAUAGAGGAGACAGAGGAAAAAAAAAUCACUGCACUGACAACUAUAACUAGAGAAAUCACCCAGACUGAAAAACAGAGAGAAAAUAAAUGGAAAAAAAUGAAUGGAGCUUCAGGGACCUGUGAGACUAUCACAGGGUCCAGUGUUUGUGUCAUCGAACUUGCAGAAGGAGAAGAGAAAGAAGACAAGGCUGAAAAGGUAUUCAAAGAAAUAAUGGCUGAAAGUUUCCCAAAUGUUCAGAGUUUUUAGUUGUCCUUACUGGGAGGAAUAGGGAGAAGCGUGUCUGCUCUAUCUUCCUGAAAGCUAAAGAACCAAGCACUGCUGGAUGGGGACCCAGGGUCUCCAAGCUGAGAAGAACACUGAUAAGGCAUGCACGGAAGCAGUCCUGGGAGGACUCUGCCACAGGCACAAACACCACUGGACACCCAAAGUCAUACUGCUGGGCGCUGGAGUCCAUUGCUUCUUCUGAGAAGAAUCGCUAACUUUUCUCGGGUCUUUGUACCUUUAGCCCCUGAUUCAAAGUCUUAGGGAGGCUCACCUAAGUGGCCAGUCGCAGGGAGUGUGCCCAGCCCUGCCUGUCAGCAGGUGUGGAAAGGAAAUGUACAGCAUUCUGCAGCAUCCCUGGUGGAAGCUGGAGCCUGUCUUCCAUUAAGCCGUACUCACUGUGGGAUUCCUCAAUUUGUCCAAUUAGGAGAAAAUGGAUGCUCAGAGAAGUGAAGCCAGUCAUCCAACAUUAACAGCACUCAGCCCCAUGAAAUGAUCUUAAUGACUCCACAAGAAAUAAAUGCUGAAGAAAAAUGGACUCCAGCCUCCUAGGCCCAGGAUUUCUUGAUGUUUCUUUGGUGUUUGGGAGGACACUGUAUUUCUGCAGCUUCAGGAUGGCUUAUGUACUCUCUGGCCUGUAUUUGUUCCUAGCACCCCUGGUUUGAGUUUACCAGAAGCCAGUGUGAGAUUCAGGGGCCAAUGUGUACUAUCAGCGACAAAUAUUGGUUAUCAGGUGAGAGGUCCUGUCUAAAGUGAAGCUGUGCUUGGAGCUCAGAUACUGACUCCAUGUGAAUGCAAUGGAUCUUGUGUGUUAGGAGGACAAGACUCCUGGAAUAGAAAUUCAGUGAGACCUCACACCAGAGCUCUAGGCAGGGGUGGAAAAGCCCCAGGCAAGGAGCUGGGCUAUAAACAAUUCUUGAUCCUUCUGUUCAGAGUGUGCAAAAUUUGCAUGGUGUUACCCCAUGCAGAGACAACUUGGGUUGUGUGCCAAUGGACGUUUCAGGGCACUUCUCAAAGGAGGGAGCUAAGCUGAGGGGCUUGGCAGGGGGCAGACUCCACAAUAAAAGGCUUAUUGGAUGUCUGUGAGGGUACACUCAAGACAGGAGAGAGUCAGCAGGCCCAGCUGAGAAAAUUCAAUCUCAACCUUCUCUAAAGACAUUCUCUGAAGACACAUGCUUUAUUUUCCACUCAUUCUUUCCUGAUCUGAGCUGGCCCUACACUCAUAUUAUAUCCAUCAUUGUCUUUGGCUUCUAAGGAUGUGCUGAUUGCCCUAUAGAUUGACAUACAAAGUUCAGAACGAUAAAAAUGGAAAGGCAUUAUAGUAUUAUCUAAAUAUGCCUCCUCAAUUUAAAGAUUAAUAAAACUGGGCUAGACUAGGUCACACAGUUGGUUAGAGGCAAUGUCAAGAUUAGAAGUUGCCCCAUUCUCAGUGUGCUGUUCAUCAUUCCAAAUAAAAUCAAAAUAAGAUAUCUUUAAAGGUUUCUCACUAGAAAUGAUGAUGAAGAGAGCACCAUCAAUAAAAGAGACAGACGUGCCUGAAAGCUCCUUCCCUGCCCUGCCCUUUCCAGUUUCCUGUGGAUUCUCAAGACCAUGAAAGGUUAGAAAUAUUAGCUGCAGAGAGAAAAGAAACAUAACAUGAACAUAUUUUCCUAUCAGUGGAUUUUCCCCUACAAGAUCAUUUUUGAAGAAGCUAAUGGUUAGGAGCACGGCCUCUGGGGCCAGACUUCCUAGACUCAAAUCCUGGCUCCAUGUCUUACUAGGUAUAUGACCUUGGGCAAAUUAACCUCUGUGCUUUGGUCUACCCAUCUGUAAAACAGGGAUAACAGUAUCUACUUCAUAGGUUGUUAUGAGGAUUAAAUAACCGUUUCGUCUUAUCU